GGCUUUAGAGAGAGAGAGAGGGUUUAGACUUUGGAGAGAGAAGGGCGGAGUUUGUUUGGUAGGGGUUUGUUUGACGGCGCCAGUUGCGGGUCUGAAUCGAUGUGUUGGCCACUCUUUUUUAAAUUCCUUUUUCUUCUUCCUCUCUUACUCCCUUCCGUGGGUCGGAGUAAUUCACAGUUAUACCAUCGUCCGUACACAUACAACGUAGAACUGCG
rnacentral:lncRNA from 1 species